rnacentral:rRNA from 1 species
AUACGGAGGGUGCGAGCGUUGUUCGGAAUUACUGGGCGUAAAGAGCAUGUAGGCGGUUUUGUAAGUCGGGUGUGAAAUCCCUGGGCUCAACCCAGGAACUGCGCUCGAUACUGCAGAACUUGAGUUCGGGAGAGGGGUGUGGAAUUCCUAGUGUAGAGGUGAAAUUCGUAGAUAUUAGGAGGAACACUCGUGGCGAAGGCGACACCCUGGAACGUAACUGACGCUGAGAUGCGAAAGCGUGGGGAGCAAACAGGAUUAGAAACCCGAGUAGUCC